AUAUUUCAAAACCUGCAUUAUAUAUUUAGAAAAUAAGAGUGAAACAGGUCAGUGUGGGUGGCUGGGGAUGAAUUUGAAUGAGUAAUAUAAAUAUCACUUCUGAAGGGCAGCUGCAGGAAGCAUGUUGAUACGGUCGUGCUGGGGUCUACGAGCAGACACACACUUACACACCCGGACACAGUCAUGCGCGACCUUGGCAUAUGCCCUUUAAAAUAUCUGGAAAGGCUUUCAACACUGCCUUUGUAUACAGUGAAGUGUCCUAAUAAUAAGUCUUACUGAGACCUAUUUCAGCAAAAGAUGAAAAAAAUAAAGAGAAGGUAUUAUUUCUCUGAAAAACCUGUGUCCUUUCAUAAGCUUAGAUCCUUUCCCUCAUACCUCUUUGGGAUAAGAGUUUUCUCAAUUAGAAAUUCUUUUAUCUGCAAUUUGUAGGGGAAUGGCUCCCUGGCACCCUUGCAGAUCUCCACACAGGCAAGUGAGGCUCAGCUGCAGCCUGACUUGCCUUGGUGAAUGAACACCUUGUCACCCUCUCAGGAAUUUGGCAUGAGUGGCAGUUCUGUGAGGUGCUGUCAAGGCUGUUCCCCAUUCACCUCACUAUCUUGUGGGAGGUUGCCACAAGGCCAUUUUCCGUCUGUUUUCCUGGUUCUGGUGAGGCAUGGGGCUUUCCAUCUGUCCCCCUUCUUCGGGAACUGUUGCAGACUAUUGAAGUGCUUGGCUGGAGCCUAGAGUUGUUGACUUCUCAGCCACAAGGUGAGGAGUGACCCACUGUUGGUGUUCCCCGUCAUCUGCCCCCUUGGCUUGGUGUCAUCCUGUGGAACAAUGGCUGCAGGUAGCUGGCACAAUGCUGAUCUUUUAUGCUGUCUGUAUGAGUUAUAGAUUGGCUAAAUCCAUUUUGGUUUGUUGUCUCCUUACCAGUUGAAUCUUUAGAAAUAUGGCCAGCAAAGCUAGUGGCGAUUCCCAUGCUACUGCUAAGUGACCUGCCUGACUGGUUGGUAGAAAACUCGAUCGGCUUAAAAAAGAAGGAAUGUUUCCUUUAUCCACAUACCAAGAAGUCAGGACACAGGCAACUGUUAAAUCAGCAACAUGAUGUCAGGGCUGAUCUACUGCAAAAAUUCCUCAGUCAUCUUGGUCCUAAGAUGGCUGUUCUGGUUCUGGACAUCACAUCACGUCUGCAUUUAAGGUGAGAUGAAGCAGUGGAAGCAGGAAUCAUUAUCUGUCUGCUUUAUUAUGAAAGCAAAAGCUCUCUCAGAAAUGCUCCAGCAGACUUCACCUUGUGCACUAUUGGCCAUAACAGGAUCAUAAUACCCUGAGCUUCAAAGAAAACCAGUUUUUGAAAAAGACGAGCUAGAUCAGCAUGAUUAGUUUACACUAGACUAGACUCGUCAGAGUAUAUGCUUGGGCUGCUCUCCUUACCUUUCUGAACCAAACUUGAGUUUCAUUGGUGAGACACAAGGAACGUGUAAGUUGGAUAGGCAACAAGUUGUAUGUGCCAUUUGAACCAGUGUUCCCAGUCCUAGCCUCUUACGCAAGCUCAGUAGGAAAGGCCCGUUAGUCACUGACUCUAUUAUCUCUUCUUGCUUGCACAUCAACUAUAUCUCAUAUUUGAACUGACCAAUAAAUAACUGGUACAUUGCAAAAACAAUUUCCAGUUCUUCAGUAACUGUAAGUCUAAUCCAAAAGAAAUUGAGAAUUGUCACGAUCAAGGACUAUAUAUGCACCAGCCCCUGAACUACUUUCUUUUCUUACCAGACUACAUCAAAGUUCAGAAGUGAAUGACAUUAGGUGAACGUUGAAAGUCUGAUGCCACCAUAAGCUUACUUAUCUUUGCAGUAUUCCAAAUAAAAUAAAUUUCUUUCAGGAGAAAUUCCUGAAUGAACACAGAAAGGACUUCAGCAACGCAUUCGGCCUUGGAGAAGAAAAAGGAGGAAGUUUUCUAAGAUGGGGAGGACCUUUCCUCAUGCCUCUCCUAGACAAGACCACAGGCUGCAUGGCUGCUCGUCUGCCAACUGUGACGAAAGCAGCCUCUUCCAGUCUACAGGAUGCAAUACUUUGUCCAAGAUUCAGUUAACAGGUGGAAGUAGUUCUUGAGAGUCAAAUCAGUUCUAUAAGUGUUUGGUGCUCAAAACCGCAUUCCCUCAGCUUGCUGCUCAUUUCAAUGCUGUAAUGGAUAGUUCCAUGAUCACUGGUGCCAGUCAGCAUGUCGCUAACCAUUGUAGUGGAACAAAGUGAUAUCCUAUGGUGUGAUGAGACAGACAAGGUUCCUAUGGACUAGAUUAUUACAGAAAACUGGAGAGCUGAGAUCUGAUGGCACUGAAAGGGGAGAAGGCAGGCAUAAAGAGGAUCAGCAUUCCUUUGGAAGAUAUUCAAAUCUGAAGAACUUUUGGUUUCACAAUGGUUUUUAGAAGCUGCAUCACCAAAAAGGGUGUGUAUAAGGGUGUGAUUGGGUAUGGCAUCACUCAAGGAGAGCCAGGUAUAGGCUCCAACAAACCAGGACUAAUUCACAUGAUUUUGAUCACCUCUUCUUUUUCUUGGGUCAUUUUACUACUUACUGAGAUAAAUGAAUUACACAAACUGUAUUAAUAGCUUUUACACAAAAACUGGAGGAAGCUUCCUAUACCACUUUGGCUACAAAUGAAUCCUUCACACCCAUCAUUUCCCAAAAGUUGUGCUUCCUGUUUGGUUAGCCAGCUGUUUAGCAACUUAAAGCAGAGAUGAAUAAUGUUUCCAAAUGUGAUUCCACUGAUAAAACUGUGCACAUGCUACGAUUAAAGCAAAUUAUAAUAAAUUCUAAAGCUUGAAAAAUAGCUACCAGGUUGGCUUUGAAUUUCCAGUUUGAUUACAGGCUAGUGCCUAGCAUCUGAAAGUUACACUAAUGCACACACUCAGAUUGCCACAAGCAGUCUUACUAGGGGGAUGUGUUGAACUGUCUCGACUAAAGACCACCAUUGGAAAGUAUCUGUCUCUUCUCUCUUAAGGACAGUGUUUUAGAGAAUUAAAAGGUGUUCUCUUGUCCUUAUUCCCUUCCGUUGCCCCACCCCUUCCUCAGCUAUGUGGUUUCUUUUCAACUGUAUAUUCGGAAUAUAUAAGAUACGUUAAAGACUGAAAGAUGAAAUAAAAAAUAAAAUUUUUAAGCAAGGAUGAGAUGAAGACAGGUAAUAAAAUUUUAAGUUAAAAAAAAUCACCUGAGGAAAUAAAUACAUAUUAUUUUUCUAGUUAUACAUAAAUCUACAUACUUCGUAGUGUGCUUGGAUCUUUAAUCAUCCUUUCCACAAAUAUGUUUAGAGAAUGUUUCCCUUAGAGGAGUAAAUGCUAUGUCUAGUCUUUUAAGUAUAUUAUAAAAGCAAAGACUUGUGACCAAUAUGGCUAUGAAUAGGUCGGCUGGAGUCAAGUGGCCUUAUCUGCAAUAUAGCUACAGGAUUAAGUUAAUUUCAUAAUAGAAUAUUGUCUAAAAUGACUUAACACUUUAAAAUUAAUCAAAUUUAAAUGUUUUCAGUAUUUUACCAGAAGAAACUUUGGAAGCAUUUAACUCACCAGCUGCAACAUGGUCAGGUAUCGUUUCCACCAAAGAUAUUUCUGAAUCCAUGGGCCAAAUGCAGUUAAACCAUAGUAUGAGUACAUAAUCACAUGGAUAAAGGAAUUCAUCUGUGCUCCAAAAAAUGCUUCAGAGAAACAACAGGGAAUUACAAGAUACAGAAAAUUUUAUUAGCCACUGACCUACACAAUAAAUGAAUCCACAUUAUUUAAUCUUGAGUACAGAUUAGGAAUAAAAGAUAUAAAUUAGUACUAAUGAAAAGGUUUUCCCUUCAGAUUAAGCUAGGUCUUUUUAAGGUUUAGAUUUCAGGCUUUACCAUAUAAAUAAAAAUGUGUGUUCAAAUGCAAAGGACUUUCAAAGUGGUAAGUUUUCAAAUGGGGCAUUCCAGUGAGCUUAAAUAGGCCCAAACGUAGAACUCUUGCCUGUGUUACUUUUAAUUCUACUAUUCUUGGGGGAAAAAGCUGUAAUACAUACAAGUCUUAAAGUAGAUUUGUAAAUGUUCCAUUAUUGCCUUCAUAUGUGCCAAUAUCUACAAUGAAACAGUACUUAUUUCUUAGGUUUCUAAAUAGUUACCAUAAUAUGACAAUGGAAACCAGCAAGGUGAGCUAUACUAUAAUGACUUGUACUCUGGAUCCUCCUCAGAGGAAUCAUCUGCAUCAAGCUCAACAAUGUCAACCAUCCUUAAUCUACAGGCAUCUGAAAAGAUCAGAGGCAGAUCUUGGCCAAACUAUGAAUUCAGAUCCUCUUUAACAUGAACAAGAAUGUAUAAAAUUUCCUUUAAGUAAGAACCAACAAGACCUAUACAGGAUGAGUAUCCCUUAUCCAAAAUGCUCAGGACCAGAUGCGUUUCUGAUUUUAGAUUUUUUCAAAAAUUUUGGAAUUUUGCAUAGACAUAAUGCGGUGUCUUGGGGAUAGGACUCAAGUCUAAAUCUGAAACUUUAUAUACUCUUUAUUUUUUUAUAUAUAUACUCUUUAUACAUGUAUCCUAAAGAUAAUUUUAUAUAAUUUUAAGAUAACUUUGUGCAUGAAACAAAGUUUGUGUACUCUGAAACAUCAGAAAGUGAAGAUGUCACUAACUUAGCCACACAUGUAGACAUUAUUUGUGGUUGUUUGGCAUGAACAUUAGGCUGUACAUGAAAAAGGGAGCUAAGAGGGUCUUUUUUCCUUUAGGGAUACUGAAUAAACUGUGUUGUGCACUUGA